rnacentral:rRNA from 1 species
CGCCUUGCCAGCCCGCUCAGAAACUACAAAGGAAUUGACGGGGGCCCGGCACAAGCGGUGGAGUAUGUGGUUUAAUUCGAUGCAACGCGAAGAACCUUACCUGGUCUUGACAUCCCGGAGACCCUUAGGAAACUAGGGGGUGCUUCCAUCUGGAAGAAUCUGGAGACAGGUGCUGCAUGGCUGUCGUCAGCUCGUGUCGUGAGAUGUUGGGUUAAGUCCCGCAACGAGCGCAACCCUUGCCUUUAGUUGCCAGCAGUUCGGCUGGGCACUCUAAAGGGACUGCCGGUGUUAAACCGGAGGAAGGUGGGGAUGACGUCAAGUCCUCAUGGCCUUUAUGACCAGGGCUACACACGUACUACAAUGGCCGAUACAAAGGGCAGCGACACUGCGAGGUGAAGCCAAUCCCGUAAAAUCGGUCUCAGUCCGGAUUGGAGUCUGCAACUCGACUCCAUGAAGUUGGAAUCGCUAGUAAUCGUGGAUCAGCAUGCCACGGUGAAUACGUUCCCGGGCCUU